rnacentral:rRNA from 1 species
AUUGAACGCUGGCGGCAGGCCUAACACAUGCAAGUCGAGCGGAGCGGCGUACGGGUGAGUAAUGCCUAGGAAUCUGCCUGGUAGUGGGGGAUAACGUCCGGAAACGGGGGAUAAUACCGCAUACUAUCAGAUGAGCCUAGGUCGGAUUAGCUAGUUGGUGGGGUAAAGGCCCACCAAGGCGACGAUCCGGAACUGGUCUGAGAGGAUGAUCAGUCAAACUGGAACUGAGACACGGUCCAGAAUCCUACGGGAGGCCGCAGUGGGGAAUAUUGGGCAAUGGGCGAAAGCCUGAUCGAGCCAUGCCGCGUGUGUGAAGAAGGUCUUCGGAUUGUAAAGCACUUUUAGUUGGGAGGCGGUACCAACAGAGUAAGCACCGGCUAACUCCGUGCCAGCAGCCGCGGUAAUAC